GAAUGUUGAUAGUGGCUUUAUUCAUCACCUCCAGUAAUUGCGAACAACCCAAAUGUCUUUCAAUGUGUGAAUUUUAGAAUAGUGAUACAAGGACUUAAUGGACCAACAACUGACAAGAACUGUGAAUUUGAGCACAUCCAGUAAUAUUAUGCUCAGUAGCAUACUGUCUAGAACGUUCAGAAAAAGCAAAACCAUAAACAGAAAUUUAAUCAGGAAUUGCCAGGAGUGGGAGCUGAUUCCAUAAGCCUGAAGAAACUUUUAAGGUGGGGAUAACAUUUAAAUCACACAGGGCAGCCCAGGUGGCUCAGUGGUUUAGCGUCGCCUUUGGCCCGAGGCGUGAUCCUGGGGACCCUGGAUCAAGUCCCAGGUCAGGCUCCCUGUAUGGAGCCUGCUUCUCCCUCUGCCUGUUUCUCUGCCUCUCAUGAAUAAAUAAAUAAAAUCUUAAAAAAAAAAAAAAAAAAAAAAAAAAAAAACUAAAUCACACAGAUGUCACAGAACUACACUCUUAAUUAUGAAUCUCGCCUAAUGUGAAUUGCCAAUAAAAGCAGCUUCAAAAAGUCCACAGGGGCCAUCUUUCAUUUAUCUACUGCCAAUAACCCAAAUUUGCAGAUUUUUUUUUCAAAUUUGCAAAUUUGGUAACCCAAUGUUUAAGGGAGCUUUAGAGAAACGACUCUUGUACAAGAGCAUAAACUGGCUCAAACCCCACAGAAGGCAGUUUGGCACAAUCUACUAAAAUUAAAUUGCAGAAACAUACUCAGCCAAAAAUAAUUCUUACCUGAUACUCAUCUGUGUGCACACUUGAGCUUAUUUACUACUUUGUAUAUACUUACAAAUCAUGUAAACCCAAAUACCAUAUAAUGGCACACUAGCCUAUACAUCAAUGAAGAUGGACUUCAUGGAAGGACCAGAACACAUUGUUAUCUGUGUAACAGUAUAUACAGUAUACAAGGUUUUAGGGUCAAAAAAAAAAAAUGGUGAAUCAUACUCAUUUGCUGUGUACACUUCAAAAAAACUAGAUACACAAGACUAAUGGCAAUGAUUAUGGGGGAAGGACUUAGAGUUGGGCCAAUGGGGGAGAAAUGGAAGUCUGUGGCCUAAAGAGCAGGGCGGUUUCCUGUCCUCAUAGUCCAGUAUUAUCUGGUUCAACAAUGACCUGGGAAAAAAUGCAGGGUGGUGCUGGGUGACAAGCCAGAGACUAAGGGAGCUAAAUGCUAGUCCAGAGCCAACAAAGAGAAGGUUCCACUACAGCUGGUACCACCCAUUCAGCUCCCACUCCUCUUAGCAGAGGCUAAGAUCCCACAAGCUGGCCGAGUCAAACCACACUUCCAGGCAGGUAAAAAUAAAAAAAGACACAAAAGAAAUGGAUCAGUUGUUUAAUUAGGUUCUUUGUAAGAAAUUUAGAACACCAAUUUGUGAGGGUAAACUCCAUUUGUGAGAGAAAACACAGAGCGGAGGUAGCCCUGAAGCUGAGGAACAGCUUUGAUUUUUGGCAGAAUUUGCGAGUCCACAGCUUUCUGAUCAACCUUGCGCUGCUCUGUAAUCUCGUAUUUCU
rnacentral:lncRNA from 1 species